GACGUAGGGCGCGAGCGUUGUCCGGAUUUAUUGGGCGUAAAGAGCUCGUAGGCGGCUUGUCGCGUCGAAUGUGAAAACUCGGGGCUCAACUCCGAGCUUGCAUUCGAUACGGGCAGGCUAGAGUUCGGUAGGGGAGACUGGAAUUCCUGGUGUAGCGGUGAAAUGCGCAGAUAUCAGGAGGAACACCGGUGGCGAAGGCGGGUCUCUGGGCCGAUACUGACGUGAGGAGCGAAAGCGUGGGGGAGCGAACAGG
rnacentral:rRNA from 1 species